GAAAAUGGGGAUAAUAACACCCAUGUUAUAGAGUUAUUCUGAUGAUUUCUAAGAGUCUCAGAGACCUAGGAUCCACAAAAUCAAAAGCAACAAAACCAAGCCUUUGUGCACAUCUGUGGUUGUGACCAGUUGGAGAGACAUUAGGAGAUGAGAUACUAUGUUCACUCCUCACAGCUGUACCAGGGACCUGAGAUAUUCCGUCACUAUUCUAUGAGGAUUUUGGAGAUCCCACCAGUGGUUUUCCGGUGCCAGGGUAUGAGAAGAUAGUCUCCAUGUCCAAACUCACAAUUUCAGAACAAAUUUCAUCAAGAUAAAGGGCCUGGGCUGGUGAAUGGUUCCUGCUUUCACUAUUCCAGAUGUCCAGCUCUGUACCUUGCUGCUCUCCUUAAAGCCUGCCUCCCUCUAGGAUGGUCUGGCUUGAUGAUAUCCAACCUGACGUGGCCUGAAGAGACAGACAGUGGCUCUUGCUAGCUAAUUAUUGUCAGAUGGAUCGGCAGCCGACCAACGCUUCUGAAACUAUUGUUUUUGGCAAAUGUUCCUCAACAUUUUCCUGGUAUAUAAAUAAUGAUCCCUUGCAGAAAGGGAGCUAUGGUGCAUUACUCACGAGUGACAGAACCAACGAGCUUCAUCUCCCAAGAGGCUGGUGCAUCUGUUUAAAGGAGCAGGCACUAGGCAGAGCAGCCCCCACCCCACCCUCCAUGGCAGAGUGCAGUGGGGGAAGGGGAUGGGAUUUCACCAUGUUGUCCAAGCUGGUUUUGAACUCCUGGGGUCAAGAAAUCCACCUGCUUCGGCCUCCCACAGUGCUGGGA
rnacentral:lncRNA from 1 species